GACAACGCUGGCGGCGUGCUUAACACAUGCAAGUCGAACGGACGAGUGAGAUAAGUUUACUUAACUCACAAGUUAGUGGCGGACGGGUGAGUAACACGUGGAUAAUCUACCUGCAACACCGGGAUAACGCUGUGAAAACGGUGCUAAUACCGGAUACGUUCCCUUGUGCGCAUGUAUGAGGGAAGAAAGCUCAGGCGGUUGCAGAUGAGUCCGCGGCUGAUUAGCUAGUUGGUGAGGUAAAGGCUCACCAAGGCGAUGAUCAGUAGCCGGCCUGAGAGGGUGAACGGCCACACUGGGACUGAGACACGGCCCAGACUCCUACGGGAGGCAGCAGUUGGGAAUCUUAGGCAAUGGACGAAAGUCUGACCUAGCGACGCCGCGUGAGGGAAGAAGGCCUUCGGGUUGUAAACCUCUGUCAUGGGGGAAGAAGUAAGUGACGGUACCCCAAGAGGAAGCCCCUGCUAACUACGUG
rnacentral:rRNA from 1 species